rnacentral:rRNA from 1 species
CUACGGGUUGCAGCAGUGGGGAAUAUUGGACAAUGGGGGAAACCCUGAUCCAGCAAUGCCGCGUGUGUGAAGAAGGCCUGCGGGUUGUAAAGCACUUUCGGUUGGGAGGACUGCUUCUAGCACUAAUAUUGUUGGAAGUUGACGUUACCUUCAGAAGAAGCACCGGCUAACUCCGUGCCAGCAGCCGCGGUAAUACGGAGGGUGCAAGCGUUAAUCGGAAUUACUGGGCGUAAAGCGCGCGUAGGCGGCUAGAUCAGUCGGGUGUGAAAGCCCCGGGCUUAACCUGGGAACUGCAUCCGAUACUGUCUAGCUUGAGUACAGGAGAGGAGAGUGGAAUUCCACAUGUAGCGGUGAAAUGCGUAGAUAUGUGGAGGAACACCAAUGGCGAAGGCAGCUCUCUGGCCUGAUACUGACGCUGAGACGCGAAAGCGUGGGGAGCAAACAGGAUUAGAUACCCGGGUAGUC